rnacentral:tmRNA from 1 species
GGGGGCGUAAAGGUUUCGACGGGGGGAGCGAGGCUUGGGCAGCGGGUAGCAGUGGGGGACCUGCUCUAAACUCCUCCAAAAAAUUAACUGACAACAAUAAUUAUCAGUUGCUCGCAGCCUGAGUGCUGCGCGUUCCGCCCACUCUUGUGUCGUGUGGGGCCUGGGCGUCCUUUAGACACAGCACCUGAACGGACGUAAGCUUUGCGGACCGGCAUGAACUCAUGAAGCUACCAAUGCGUUAGCCUGGCGACCGGCGUGACGCGGAGGGAAUGUUGUUGA